rnacentral:tRNA from 1 species
GAGAAAUGGCUCAGUGGUUAAGAGCACUGACUGUUGUUCCAGAGAACCUGAGUUCAAUUCCCAGCAUCCUCA